GCCCACAUAGCUCAGUUGGUAGAGCACUUCCAUGGUAAGGAAGGGGUCUGCGGUUCAAGUCCGCAUGUGGGCUCCA
rnacentral:tRNA from 1 species